GACGAACGCUGGCGGCGUGCUUAACACAUGCAAGUCGAACGGCAAGGCCCUGCUUUUGUGGGGUUCUCGUUUGGCGAACGGGUGAGUAUCACGUGUGUAUCCUGCCCUUGACUUUCGGAUAUCUUCAGGAAACUGGGUCUAAUACCGUCUAUUAGCUCCUGCUUCAUGGUGUUGUUUGGUUAUUUUCGGCGGUUGGGUAUGUACUGGCGGCUUCUCAGCUUGUUGGUGGGGUAGUUGCUUACCAAGGCUUUGACGGGUAGCCGGCCUGUGAGGGUGACCGGCGACAUUGGGAAGGAGAUACGGAACAGAGGAGAACGGGAGGAAGGAGGGGGGAAUAGUGGAGAAAGGGCGGAAGCCUGAUGAAGAAACGCCGGGUGCGGGAUGACGGCCUGCGGGUUGUAAAACGAUUUAGCAUGUGACGAAGAGUGAGUGACGGUAAUGGGUAAAGAAGCACCGGCUAACUACGUG
rnacentral:rRNA from 1 species